AUAUCAGUAAGCGGAGGAAAAGAAACUAACAAGGAUUCCCCUAGUAACGGCGAGUGAAGCGGGAAAAGCUCAAAGUGAAAAUCGUUUCCCCAAACGGGGUGGCGAGUUGUAAUCUACAGACCUAUCGUUAGCGGACGACCCGGGUAUAACUCUUUUGGAACAAGGGAUCAGAGAGGGUGAGAAUCCCGUCUUUGACCCGGAGUUCGCCGCGUACAACCUAGGUUCGAAGAGUCGAGUAGGUUGGGAUUCCUGCUCAAAAUGGGUGGUAAAUUUCAUCUAAAGCUAAAUACGGGCGAGAGACCGAUAGCGCACAAGU
rnacentral:rRNA from 1 species